rnacentral:rRNA from 1 species
UGGGGAAUAUUGCGCAAUGGGCGAAAGCCUGACGCAGCGACGCCGCGUGGAGGAUGAAGGUCUUCGGAUUGUAAACUCCUGUCAGGUGGGAAGAAAAGCUUUUUUUUAAUAGAAAAGAGUUAUGACGGUACCAUCAGAGGAAGCACUGGCUAAUCUCGUGCCAGCAGCCGCGGUAAUACGAGAGGUGCAAGCGUUAUUCGGAAUUAUUGGGCGUAAAGGGCGCGUAGGCGGUUUGUUAAGUUUGUUGUUAAAUCCUCUGGCUUAACCGGAGAUAAGCAAUAAAAACUGGCAAACUAGAGCGUGAGAGAGAGAAGUGGAAUUCCCGGAGUAGCGGUAAAAUGCGUAGAUCUCGGGAGGAACACCAAUGGCGAAGGCUGCUUCUUGGCUCAUUGCUGACGCUGAGGCGCGAAAGCGUGGGGAGCAAACAGGAUUAGAUACCCCUGUAGUCC